rnacentral:rRNA from 1 species
GAUAAACGCUGGCGGCGCACAUAAGACAUGCAAGUCGAACGGAAGUCGUUGUGAUGAAAUAGAAACGGACAGAGAACUUGUUCGAAGAAAGUGGAAGUAGACUUACAACAAUGGCUUUAGUGGCGGACUGGUGAGUAACGCGUAAGGAACCUGCCUUCUAGAGGGGAAUAACAAUGAGAAAUCAUUGCUAAUACCGCAUAUGCCGAGAGAAUCACAUGGUACAAUCGGGAAAAGAGUAAUCUGCUAGAAGAUGGCCUUGCGUCUGAUUAGAUAGUUGGUGGGGUAACGGCCUACCAAGUCGACGAUCAGUAGCCGGACUGAGAGGUUGAACGGCCACAUUGGGACUGAGAUACGGCCCAGACUCCUACGGGAGGCAGCAGUCGGGAAUAUUGCGCAAUGGAGGAAACUCUGACGCAGUGACGCCGCGUAUAGGAAGAAGGUUUUCGGAUUGUAAACUAUUGUCGUUAGGGAAGAGAAAGGACAGUACCUAAGGAGGAAGCUCCGGCUAACUACGUGCCAGCAGCCGCGGUAAUACGUAGGGAGCGAGCGUUAUCCGGAAUUAUUGGGUGUAAAGGGUGCGUAGACGGGAAGAUAAGUUAGUUGUGAAAUCCCUCGGCUUAACUGAGGAACUGCAACUAAAACUGUUUUUCUUGAGUGCAGGAGAGGUAAGUGGAAUUCCUAGUGUAGCGGUGAAAUGCGUAGAUAUUAGGAGGAACACCAGUGGCGAAGGCGACUUACUGGACUGUAACUGACGUUGAGGCACGAAAGUGUGGGGAGCAAACAGGAUUAGAUACCCUGGUAGUCCACACCGUAAACGAUG